GUUGUAAAACCUCUGCAAACCCCCCCAAAUCGAAGAAUUUCUAGGGUUUGCUUCUUUGCCUCCCUCCCGCCCUCGUUCUCAUGGAGGCCGUUCUCGUUGAAUCCCCGUUCCAAUCGAAGGCUCACACUGACUUCUUUCUCCCUUCCGGCCCUAGCUACGAUUCCAUGCUCCGUGAAUCCAUUGAUCGCUUCCUCGUCGAGGUCCAUAAGCAACCUCGUGACUUCUCCGCCUUCCGCUCCGUCUUCUUCCGGCUUCUCCAGUCCAGCCCCGAUCCCCCGCUCGAGAUCAUCUGGUUUUACUCCGCAGUGAACUACUUCGACUCUGUUUUAACUGGUAAUGAUGUCCUUGCUCGCGUUUUGGGGAUCAGAGACCUUCUCCAGCUUCUCAUCGCCUGUUCGGCGUCUUGUGACGGACGAAAGUCGGUGGCUUUGCUGGCGCCUGUCGUUUCUGAGCUAUAUCACUGCCUGAUGGAGGAGAAGGAGCUCCAUGGGAAGGCUAAGAGGGAGAUUGAGGGCUUGGUUGAAGGUGUCAUCAGCUACAUUAGCAUUUGUGGAAGCAAGCCACAUAGUGAUGCAAAUGGUUCUGCUGGGUUUCUUUCUUGUUUCAUGGAUCUUGUUCGUGUUUGGUCGUCACGAUGCCCAGGCGGCGGAGAUGGCUCAGAUGUGGUUUUUCCAUUGGUGAAUGGUUAUAUAAGGAGAAGGCUUUGCAACCAAUGCCGGGAUGUUGGGUAUUUGGCUGCGGUUGUGACGUCGGAGAUUUUCUUGCUGAGGCUGUGCUUGAAGGUCCGGGGAGCUGGUGAGGUCAAGACAGAGUUGCCGAAGGAGCUCAAGAUAUGGGCAGUCAGUUCGGUGACUGUGUUUCGGAAUUCCAUCUUCUUUGAGAUAUUAUUGAAGCUGCUGCUGGGCCCAACACUGCCUUUCAAAUCCUUAUUGAAUUCGAAGGAGGAGAACCUUGUGAAGAGCAUCCUCUAUGAUGCGGUGAUACUCGUGGAUUAUUCUUUUCUUAAUCCUGGAAUGGGCCCGGAACAGUCAUUUGAUCGUAUAAAAAGUCUUGCUUUGACAAGACUGUUCGUAUCUGAUGAAGCCAUCAGAAUAGCCAAGGAAAAUGGGGAUCAUUCCAAGGUUUUAUCCUAUACAAGUGCCUUUUCCACCUCCAAUCUUCCCGGUGAUUUUGUUAAGUGGGUCAACAAUCAUGCUGCUGCCAGUAAGGUGGCAUGCAAGCGGCCAAAUGGCACUACGCCUCAAGCUCUUUUGGUGUGGCUUGAGGGCCUUGAGGACAAUGGACUGACACUGUUUGAGGACCGAAUAUCUAGCUUGCGAACCAAGCUCUUAAAUCAAGAUGGAAUUCACCAUCCCGGGGAAUCACUAAUUGAUCCAAACGAGUACUCAGAUGCUGAACUUUUCCAUCUUGAUACAAGGGUGAAUCCUGAAGUCGAAACAGAACCUGUGGAUUAUAAGUUCUCUGCUGCUGUUAGCUUAAUGAGAUCUAAAGCCACCUAUUCACGGAGGAAACGAAAAGAAUUUGGGGGUGAAGAGGCUGUACCUUCAAAGCUUGGCAAACAUGAGGCCAAUGAUGAUUCUGUGGAAGACUAUUCCAUGUCUUAUGCCGGCAAUGAUCGUAUGAGCAGUGAUAGUGAGAUCGAGAAUCCCGAGUCUGAUGACAACAUGGACAUAGUAGGGCAAUGAGAUGAGUAGUGGUUUAAGCGCAUGGCAAAUCACACUUAUGCUAGUUUUUAGUUAAAAGAAAAAUCAUAUAUAUAUUGGUGCACUAGCAUCAUCAUAUUUUCUCAUGCUUUCAGGAGCAUGAGACUUAACCACUUCACCUGCUGAGAGAGGAAGGAGUUGAAUGACCUUGUCUCCAUCCAUCUCUUUCGUUUCAGUAAAUGUUUUGUUCGUCGGAAAACUAAUAUCUGUGAUGGAGAUUUAAAAUAUUCAUAUGGAAGCUUGGAGUUCAGCAUCAUCACCAACCAAGCGUUAGCAAAGCAAGAAGCACACUGGAACUCUCAGUGGUUCAAGUGUCCAUUACCACUUCUUUUUGCUCUGCUUUUACAGAGAAAUUGACAGUUGAAGAGGUUUGAGUGCAUGAAGUU